rnacentral:sRNA from 12 species
AGAUAUACCCCAAACUUCGGUUUGGGAAAAGGUCGGGAUGAGCUAACGUUCCCGGCCCCUACUGUGAGUUGCCUUUUAAGGCAGCGAGAUUAUCUUCGGAUAAUUAUAUGCGGCAGGCACAUGUCACCGGCUUCAACGAAAAGGUUCGUGCCUUUUCGGUUUAACACGUAAUUGAAGUCUGGCGGUGAGCGGCAACUUAAAGUGAAGCAAUAAAAAUGCACACUAGAGUAAGAACCAGCUGCAAACCGAGUGAUGCUCCAAGUUCCGGUUCGGAACAAAAGAGCAAACACAGUCGGUCACCGACCGACAGUUGCUACUGUGAGUUAGUGCGGAGUAAAUAACGUAGUUCGACAGUGUGAACGAAAAAAAUGCUGUUAGAUCGUAGGGGUGUCGCAAUCAAUACGGGAAAAAGAACUGCGGCUUCGCGGAGUGAGCGAACCAAGUGAGAGGCGCCCGGAUACGGGCAGUGAUCAUGGAAGCGCGAUAAAAUCCGAAGCGCGGGAGGCUGUAGAAAGGCCGUCCGCUUGAGACAAUAAAAGCAACUUGAGGGUUAAGAGACAAGACCCGUUGCCUAAGGCAAACGAUCGAUGACGAAAGAAGUCGAUGCUGACCUUGGGCUGCAGGAACGGAAGAGGAGAUCUCAAUCACUACCGAUCCGUGUUCGGACUGUGAGUGUCGGCAGACAAGCGCAAAACCGGGCAGAGAAGUCUCACCCAACAAAGAACCAGCGGUUACGCUGGAAUCAGGUUCUGCUGUGGGACCGAAACGUAUUGCAAUCGUUCUUGCGGUAUGACGCAGCGUCGGGGAACUGGCAGCCAAUAAUCACUCGACGGGUGAUGAGGGCGCCCAAUGCCAGUGAAUCGAGGAAAGAGAGCGUGGCGAGCUCC